rnacentral:rRNA from 1 species
GGACGAACGCUGGCGGCGUGCUUAACACAUGCAAGUCGAACGAUGAUCAGGAGCUUGCUCCUGUGAUUAGUGGCGAACGGGUGAGUAACACGUGAGUAACCUGCCCCUGACUCUGGGAUAAGCGUUGGAAACGACGUCUAAUACUGGAUACGACUGCCGGCCGCAUGGUCUGGUGGUGGAAAGAUUUUUUGGUUGGGGAUGGACUCGCGGCCUAUCAGCUUGUUGGUGAGGUAAUGGCUCACCAAGGCGACGACGGGUAGCCGGCCUGAGAGGGUGACCGGCCACACUGGGACUGAGACACGGCCCAGACUCCUACGGGAGGCAGCAGUGGGGAAUAUUGCACAAUGGGCGAAAGCCUGAUGCAGCAACGCCGCGUGAGGGAUGACGGCCUUCGGGUUGUAAACCUCUUUUAGUAGGGAAGAAGCGAAAGUGACGGUACCUGCAGAAAAAGCACCGGCUAACUACGUGCCAGCAGCCGCGGUAAUACGUAGGGUGCAAGCGUUGUCCGGAAUUAUUGGGCGUAAAGAGCUCGUAGGCGGUUUGUCGCGUCUGCUGUGAAAUCCCGAGGCUCAACCUCGGGCUUGCAGUGGGUACGGGCAGACUAGAGUGCGGUAGGGGAGAUUGGAAUUCCUGGUGUAGCGGUGGAAUGCGCAGAUAUCAGGAGGAACACCGAUGGCGAAGGCAGAUCUCUGGGCCGUAACUGACGCUGAGGAGCGAAAGCGUGGGGAGCGAACAGGAUUAGAUACCCUGGUAGUCCACGCCGUAAACGUUGGGCGCUAGAUGUAGGGACCUUUCCACGGUUUCUGUGUCGUAGCUAACG